rnacentral:rRNA from 1 species
GGCUGUACCAUGCUCUUUUUCGACAAGGAGCUAAUCUCUCGAAAGCGGUUGCGGCGGCACGAGAGGUUUUCAGGAGUCAACCCGCCGUUAUGAUGCUCGAUUUUGUCUCCGGCUCGAAACGCGGCGUGUGCGCCGAUCACAGCCGCCGCGAAAUGAGCGAUGAUGAGGAGACCGAUAGCGCACAAGUA